GUACACACCGCCCGUCGCUCCUACCGAUUUCGAGUGGUCCGGUGAAUAAUUCGGACCGCAGCAUCGUUCAGCUCCUGAACUUUGCCGUGGAAAGUUUAGUGRACCUUAACACUUAGAGGAAGGAGAAGUCGUAACAAGGUUUCCGUAGGUGAACCUGCAGAAGGAUCA
rnacentral:rRNA from 1 species